GAUGAAGAACGCAGCGAAAUGCGAUAAGUAAUGUGAAUUGCAGAAUUCAGUGAAUCAUCGAAUCUUUGAACGCACAUUGCGCCUCUUGGUACUCCGAGGGGCAUGCCUGUUCGAGCGUCAUUAUAACCCUCAAGCUCAGCUUGGUGUUGGGGCCUGCUGCACUGGCAGCCCUUAAAAUCAGUGGCGGCGCCAUCUGGCUCUAAGCGUAGUAAUUCUUCUCGCUAUGGAGUCCUGGUGGAUGCUUGCCAUCAACCCCCAAUUUUUCUAUGGUUGACCUCGGAUCAGGUAGGGAUACCCGCUGAACUUAAGCAUAUCAAUAAGCGGAGGA
rnacentral:misc_RNA from 1 species